CCAUGUAAACGAAAAGCUAUCGCAGAAACUCUUAUGGCCGUGGCCGCUCUCAGGCUUCUCUCUGGUGUUACGUAUAUGGUAGGAGACGUCUCUUUCUGCUACGGCACAUGUGAUUUCGCGUGCAUUACGUAGUGGUCUUUCUGUCGUCUGGUUUCUGACAGGUGCGGGAAUAUAAACAAAGAGUUGUCAUAAAAAAUGCAUCUAACCAUUCCAUCAUUAUAUGCUGUUCGGUUGUCACUAAAUAUAUUUCAGGAAGCAAGUCCUUUGUAUAGAGCCAGCAGAUUAGAUCGUAGUACAACAACAUAUGCAAUUUUCCUUGCAACUUUUGGGUUAUCUAUGAGCAUGUUUUCUUUAAAUCAGAUGAAGUUGUCAUAUCAGCGUCGGCAUCUGCAAAGAUCUUAGAGAUCUCAAUCGCGACAAACGAUAGCAUCAGGCAAUUCAAAACAUUGAAUAAAUUUAUCAGUCAUGAAUACUAUACUAUUUUCGAAUCAAUAUCAAGACAUAAUGAAACUUGCACUUAAUAGAUUAAACUUGUGGUUCACAUGUGAACUGCAGUUCUGCUAUAUAUUUUUCUUUUGGAGUAUAAACAAUAGACCUACAUAUUUAAAUUAUCAUGAUGAUGUACCUGUAUCAUGCAAAAUUGUGCAUACACCUGUGUUUUAGUUAUAUCAAUUUUAAUACUUUGUAACAUUAACACUUGUAACUAGGUAGACGUAAACCAGUGUAUUUUUAUCAAAACAUCUAUUUUAAGCAAAAAAUCAGCCAAAUAUACUUUUUGAAACAAGUGUGAUAAGUUGGUUAUUAGUAUAUCGUGAAAACGAUAUAGUAUUCUUGAACAGUGUUUUUGUAAAAUAAUGCAAUCUUGCGAAUGGAUGCUACCUUUUGAGAAAUUUAAAAGAACUACAACUAUUAUACAAUUGGACUUCAAUUAAGUAAAAUUAUUUGGGACCUAAUGUAUCUAAACCAGUACAGCAAUUUUCCGCAAAC